rnacentral:rRNA from 1 species
GAAAAGAACUUUGGAGAGAGAGCUCAAUAGCCCGUGAAACCGUUGGGAGGGAAGCUCAGGGUGGCGAGGUUGUCGUGCUCUGUCGGAGUUCAGCUGGCGGUGGUCAGGUUGCUGACCGCUGCCGGUGCAGUCUUCGGCAGAGUUGGACCGUCAGUUGGGAAGAGACUGGGACCUGCUAUAUCGGCGGUCGGGAGGUAAGCCUCGCGGUUCCUCUGGGUGCCCGGGGUGACAUACAGCCGUUCUGCCGUGGUCCCGGCCGUCUUUCAGGUGUGUUUGAUGUCUGUUCGUCCAGAAUGGGAAGGUGCAGCUCCCCCCGUGGGAGUUCGCGCCGUCGCCGGAGUUGCUUU